UUAUAUGAGAGUUUGAUCCUGGCUCAGGAUGAACGCUGGCGGCGUGCCUAAUACAUGCAAGUCGAACGAGUUCUGAUUAUUGAAAGGUGCUUGCAUCUUGAUUUAAUUUUGAACGAGUGGCGGACGGGUGAGUAACACGUGGGUAACCUGCCCUUAAGUGGGGGAUAACAUUUGGAAACAGAUGCUAAUACCGCAUAAAUCCAAGAACCGCAUGGUUCUUGGCUGAAAGAUGGCGUAAGCUAUCGCUUUUGGAUGGACCCGCGGCGUAUUAGCUAGUUGGUGAGGUAACGGCUCACCAAGGCAAUGAUACGUAGCCGAACUGAGAGGUUGAUCGGCCACAUUGGGACUGAGACACGGCCCAAACUCCUACGGGAGGCAGCAGUAGGGAAUCUUCCACAAUGGACGCAAGUCUGAUGGAGCAACGCCGCGUGAGUGAAGAAGGCUUUCGGGUCGUAAAACUCUGUUGUUGGAGAAGAAUGGUCGGCAGAGUAACUGUUGUCGGCGUGACGGUAUCCAACCAGAAAGCCACGGCUAACUACGUGCCAGCAGCCGCGGUAAUACGUAGGUGGCAAGCGUUAUCCGGAUUUAUUGGGCGUAAAGCGAGCGCAGGCGGUUUUUUAAGUCUGAUGUGAAAGCCCUCGGCUUAACCGAGGAAGUGCAUCGGAAACUGGGAAACUUGAGUGCAGAAGAGGACAGUGGAACUCCAUGUGUAGCGGUGAAAUGCGUAGAUAUAUGGAAGAACACCAGUGGCGAAGGCGGCUGUCUGGUCUGUAACUGACGCUGAGGCUCGAAAGCAUGGGUAGCGAACAGGAUUAGAUACCCUGGUAGUCCAUGCCGUAAACGAUGAAUGCUAGGUGUUGGAGGGUUUCCGCCCUUCAGUGCCGCAGCUAACGCAUUAAGCAUUCCGCCUGGGGAGUACGACCGCAAGGUUGAAACUCAAAGGAAUUGACGGGGGCCCGCACAAGCGGUGGAGCAUGUGGUUUAAUUCGAAGCAACG
rnacentral:rRNA from 1 species